AAGUAAAUCAUUCAUUUUUAUUAUUAAAAAUUAGUAUGACUAACAAAAUAACUAGACAGCUACAUAUGGUGUGUCACGUGUAUCUCAUUUUAAUGUACAAAGACUAUUUUUAAUAAUAAAAAUUGAUGAAAAUUUUAAUA
rfam:Gossypium raimondii Chr03_contig_24, whole genome shotgun sequence.